UACGUAGGGUGCGAGCGUUAAUCGGAAUUACUGGGCGUAAAGCGUGCGCAGGCGGUUUUGUAAGUCAGAUGUGAAAUCCCCGGGCUUAACCUGGGAACUGCGUUUGAAACUACAAGGCUAGAGUGUGGCAGAGGGGGGUGGAAUUCCACGUGUAGCAGUGAAAUGCGUAGAUAUCGGAAGGAACAUCAGUGGCGAAAGCGACUUCCUGGACCAGUACCGACGUUCAGGCACGAAAGCGUGGGGAGCAAACAGG
rnacentral:rRNA from 1 species